AUGAUGUUUUCAGAUCCCACAAAGGGCAUGAAAGUUUGUUGUAACAUGCUGCAAAUUUUCGCAUUGGAGUUGGCUAAAAUUCCUGGGGAUAAUGGCUUGGUAGAGUUAUAUGGAUACAUAGCAGCGCGGGACGAAGUGGAUAUGUUGCUUAAUUAUGUCGUCAAUAUUAGCAGGAAUGAUCCCAUCAUUGUGGCGCAGGGUUCUCUCAUUUGCAUGGCUAGUGGCCCUAGGCGAGGGAUAGAGUUGGCGAACUAUACAAUAAUUGAGUAUGACAUGAGGAUCAAAAGAGGUAGACAUGAAAGAGAUGACCUACAACUGAUCGACGGCGCAAUAGAAUUUUGCAUCACGAGAACAUGGAAUCGGCCGUUCACAAUUAACAUCCGUGGCGACUGUGGUGGUGCGGUCGACAUGACUUUAGCAUGUCUUCACAACGCGGUCAAGGCGACUGUAGAGGUCCUUAUAUCAGAAUUGCAUGGUAGUUUCAACAUGUCUCUCAGAUGUUUUACCAGCAGGUUCUAUAAAGAGAUUCGGCUGUUCGAUGGCGUCGUUACCGAGUCUUAUGGCUUGAAGAGGUAUGUGGUUGCGGUAAUGAAGAGGUCUUUCAUACGUUUGAAAUUCAAGGUACACACCCCGUCGUCCAGUUCCAAGUCAAAACUUUGUUGUACGUUCAAGGCGAAGACCAAUGGGCAUAAUGCUCGAGAGCUAAAGACUGAUUUUGCAGUUAUCUCAGUGAAGGUGACUUGGUCGACACUGCCUAAUAGCUUUCCUGGCUAA
rnacentral:rRNA from 1 species